rnacentral:rRNA from 1 species
UACAGAGGUCUCAAGCGUUGUUCGGAUUCAUUGGGCGUAAAGGGUGCGUAGGCGGCGCGGUAAGUCGGGUGUGAAAUCUCGGAGCUUAACUCCGAAACUGCAUUCGAUACUGCCGUGCUUGAGGACUGGAGAGGAGACUGGAAUUUACGGUGUAGCGGUGAAAUGCGUAGAUAUCGCUUGGAACGCCGAAGGUGAAAACAGGUCGCUGGGGAUGUGCCGACGCUGGAGACACGAAAGCCAGGGGAGCAAACGGG